UUAACGGGAAGAACCUUACCAGCUCUUGACAUCCCAAGACCGCCACGGAGACGUGGUUUUCCCUUCGGGGACUUGGAGACAGGUGCUGCAUGGCUGUCGUCAGCUCGUGUCGUGAGAUGUUGGGUUAAGUCCCGCAACGAGCGCAACCCUCGCCCUUAGUUGCCAGCAUUCGGUUGGGCACUUUAGGGGGACUGCCGGUGAUAAGCCGAGAGGAAGGUGGGGAUGACGUCAAGUCCUCAUGGCCCUUACGGGCUGGGCUACACACGUGCUACAAUGGCGGUGACAAUGGGCAGCGACCUCGCGAGGGGGAGCCAAUCCCAAAAAGCCGUCUCAGUUCGGAUUGCACUCUGCAACUCGAGUGCAUGAAGUUGGAAU
rnacentral:rRNA from 1 species